rnacentral:lncRNA from 1 species
UUCUCUGCCUAGCUAUUCAUGGACCAUUUGAGGGGCGCCUACUCCAUACUGCGGUGCUCAACAGUGAUGCUGUACAGAGGAGAAAAAAACUAGGAAGUCUUCCCACGAUUUAAAUAUGAGUGGAAGGUGGCCCAGAUGAUGACAUGGGUUUGGAUUCCUUCCAUGAACAAAUGAAGCAGAAGAAAGCCUGUAUAGAGGAAGGAGUGGGGAAGCCUGGAAAUUUCCAAGUUUUGUUACUUGUUUCUUUUCAAGGCAUGUCUGUCUUUUCACUCUUUAAAUUCUUGAAGCAUUUCUCUAUCCUUCAAAUAACCACUUGUUGACAACAGAAAAAGACAGUGGGAGAAACCAAAGCACAGCUAUGACCAUUAUCUGCCCGCCCUUCAAGCUCUUACUACUUUUAUGAAAACUCAGAUCGCAUCAGCCCAUGAGAUACUGUCCCCUAGUUCCUGUAAAUGCUUACUACAUUUCCACUCACCUCUCUCGUCUCACUGUUCUCCCAGCAUGAGUUAUCUUCAUACAGAUCUGAGUGAAACCAUGCUUUUAAAACUCAUUCAUGGGUCCCAGUGCACCGAGCCUUUGCAGAUAAGACCUUCAAUGAAUAGUUAGAGUGAGACUAGGCUGAGUCAGGUUCACUAGUGAUUGAAUCUAAUAAAAUAGAACAUGGCUGUGUAGUAAAAAGUAAAGCAAGAUGCUAAAAUUAGCAUUAGGAGUAAUUCUCGAUUAUCCGCUGGUAUAGAAACAGUUUGAAGUGACAACCUCUCCUGAGAGUGAGUAAGCCAGGAUUAGCUAUCUCAAGAAGUUACAAUGUGUGACAUACUUAACGAAUUAAUUGAUUGCUGAGUACAGGAUGUAUGCUACGUAAUUUGGCUAUACAGAACCUACUCUAAGCUUCAUGUGUUAACAAUGAUCUAUACUAAGCACUUCCAUAUUUACAUCACCCGGAGGAAGAAGUAACUUCUUGUAGGAGUUCACUUUGGGGAAAAUCUGCUGUGGCAAGCAUUGCUGUAAGAGCGACCUGGGGAUUGUCUUUGAGGUCUAGCUUAGUAUGAAGCAAGGGCAUGCUUUGACAUCUUAGACAGGCCAAUUUAAUAGUAGAUCACAUUUGUCAAAAAAACACAUAGGUUUGCAGUUGAAGUUUGGAUAGAAGGCCAAUCUAUUGCAUGGUGUUAGACUUCAGCCAUCAAUAAUCGUCCUUUGACUCCCUAACCCCAUUAGUGACUCCCAAAGCAGACCAUUUGUAAUGAACUGACUUACAACGUAGCAACUUCUUUUCUAGUGUGAACAAUGCUGCCCUAUAAACCAAACAGUUGGCAAGGGGUAAUAGGAGGAGACACCUACAAGGGUAGCACACUCAGGUCACAGGAUCAUCCAGGGUCUGUUGUCAAAUGAACCCGUGCCUACUUUUCAUACAGGGGAAAACCAAGUGAGCAAGCAUAGAGGAAUUGCUCGUUUUUCUCUUUAAAACUUAUUACUGUGAUGUUUACCUUGGAGGCCUGAAAAAGGUGUCAGAUCCCCUGGAGCUUCUCAUACAAAUGGCUGUGAGUUCUGGAAAUGAAAUUCAGGUCCACUGGAAGAGCAGCACAUAUUCUUCAUCAUUAAGACAUCUCUUCAGCUGCUGUUUCUAUUUUUCAGUGAAUAAAAACUAUAACUUUUAAAGAGUGUAUGCUUUUACAGAGCAUCAAUCUAAGCCGAGUAAUGAGAGUACUAGAUUUUAGAUUCCUGGUACAUUAAAUAUGACCCUUAUUCUGUGUGGUAAAUUUAUCCUUCGAUUUGUACUUAUAAUUUUAAAAGCAUAUAUAAGCAUCGCAUAGUCCUGAGAACUAGGUUGGUAUUGUUUGCCUAUUUGUCUGGGAAUAAUAUGAAUGAAGAAAACAUGUUUGUACUUAUUUUAAGUGCUGAGAAUUUUGAAUUGUUGAAUCAGUUUUCCCAAGAAUCUUGAAAAUGAACAGUCAUGAUUUGACUGUAACAUAUCCACAGGGCAGUUCAAGGUCUUCACUACAUUCUGAGGCUUUUUGCAACUUAGUCAUGCUGGGAAUUAAAGUUGCCGUGGUUUUCUUUCUUGAUAUUUCCACUUGAUCAGCUAUCAGAUAUGAAGACUCCAUGUCCUGUUUCCUUCUAGCCUACAGCAGCCAGGGCUCCUGCUUCUCCUCAUGAGUAUGCUUCCUCUGUGUCAUGAAUCUGAAGAUGUUACUGGCAUGUCACUUACCCAUAGGGAAUCUAUGCAUAUAAUUUCGGGAAUUUCCCACAAAACCACUUCUUACUUCUCUAAAUUGAUCAAAAGAACCAUUAGAAUUAGUCUUUUCCUUUCUUUGCAGGGAGCUCAAGACUUUGCACAUGUGAGGAAAGUACUCUAUCAGAGAACUACAUCGGCAUCCCCAAUAAAGACCUUUUAAUCAGACUCUUUACAACCAUAGUGUUGUAGUAAUUCUAAAGUUCUACGGAAAAUAACAAGAUGAAUGCAUAAAGUUUCUGUCUACACCUAACUUACAUUCCCAAACUUUUAGGAUUUUGAUAUUUUAUUUUUUAUCUUCCUGACUUUCUCUGAUUACUUAUAUUGGUGUCCUGUACUUUUUCUAAACCACUUAAGAGUUUGUCUCAUUACACUUCUUUUUACCUCUCGGAAGGGUGAGAAUUUUCCAAACCUGAGUAACCAUUUUCUUAUGCAACCACGUGGUAUGAUUAUCAAACGUGGGACAUUUCCCAUUGAUGAAAUUGUUGUAGUAAAUAUUUAAAAUCCUGCCCUGAGGUUUCUACCCUACCUUUUAUGAUUUAUGUUCCUGGAUGAAAGGCACACUCACAGCCUGUAUAAUAAACCCUAAACAGCACAAUAGCUGGGCAGCUGCCUAUCUUCCAAGUUCUUAGAAUCUACUUUCCUAUCGAUAACCUCAAGUUAUUAUUUACUAUCUGCUGGGUUCUAUUUGGGCUACUCUUAACAACAAUUGGGCAGCUCUCAGGCCACGCUCUCUUAACUCAUGGUGAUGGCACCUCCCUCCUCUCCUGCACAUUUUUCUUCUCCUUCUCCUGACCUCAUGCCUAGGAAACCUAGACCCUUCUGCCCAGUCAUUGGCCAUCGACAUCUUUAUUUACCAAUCAGAAUUAACUUGGGGCUUUGGCUAUUCAUACUUUCCAGUUAUCCCAAUGAAGUGACGUGUAAGUUUUAUGCUCUCCCUCCCAUCCAGGUGCUAAGGUAACACCAUGGGUUGCACUUAGCUGUCGUGACCAUUUGAUCUCUGUUGCUCUAGAACCAUUCUUUUAUCUUUUCUUUGCUUUUCACACUGAAGCCAAUGGCUUUUCAUUUAGGUCUGCUGAUGUCUCCUAACACAUCUCUGGCCAGAACAAUGCAUAUGGAUGUGUGAUCUUCUCAUAUGUCCCUGGAAUAAGCUGUACACCCUUCUUUCAUGAUUGUAAUCCUGUUCACUUGACCCUAGUUGUCCAUUUUCUUCACUCUGGAGUUUCUGAGUUGCUCUUUGAAAGCAGAAUGCAGCCUACUUGGAGACUUCCUAAACCCAUCCAAGGACCCUGCUCUUCAUCACAGUUCUCUUCUCAUCUUGAGUCUAAUCAAGCUGUGCCACAGGGCUUGUGCCACCUUCCACCACCACCCCAGCUCCCCCACACUCUUUCCACAAAAAGCAAAAGUGUCACCAUAAGAGAUGACUCUCUCCCUCUCUUUCCCUCUCAUUCCUCUCUUUCCUUCUCACUUAAUCUAUUAUUAGUAUGAAUAUACAUAUUCUAAAUAUAUUCUCUGUGUUAAGAAGCUAUCCCUAUCAUGAUUUUUUUUUAAUGCCUAAAUAACACCAGAAGAUCUAGCAAGUUGUAAAACCUUUGAAAUAGCUCCUGUGUACUUUCUAUACACGUCCAUAAGUUCAAGGUCCAUUUUAUGCUUUUGUUCAGCAAGAUUUACCACAUAUCUUCUCUGUUCUUACCAGUUACCCAAGUACCUCUGUUUCCUUUCCAUGGCAAAUGGAAUUUAGAAAUUAAGAUCUGAACACUAGGUAUGCUCACUGCUGCUCAAGUGUCUUUUUCUUUAGACCCCCAACAGAGGGCUGAAAUUAAAAGAAAAUAUGCCCAGAGACAGAUGCAAACAUACACAUACAAGGGAAUGUCUUUCUACAUAGGAAUUAGACACCAUCAUCUUUCCCUACCCCAUUUUUUAUUUUCCCUUCUUCUGAUGUGAGAACCCUGACUUUCAAUGACAUAAGAAUAGUUGCUCUUUUAUCCAUCCAAUAACAAGUUGAUUUAGAGUCACUCAACCAGAGAGAGAGAGAAUAUUAAUAUGUAGUUGCAUUUUCUCUAGUAAGGUUUUAUUGUUAAAAAGGUUACUAGAACUUUACCCUCCUAGCCUCCACUUCAAUUCACUCACAUCCAUUUCCAAAAGGUGUGCUCAGAAAGGGUUACUAUCUCUAAUCACUUCUAUCUGCUUCUAUUACUCUUUGUAGAUGAACAACUUCAUUGUUUCUUGGACUAUUUUUUCUGUGGGGUUUUAUUUGGAGGGGUCAUGGGGGUGGAAAAGUAUCCUUAGCUUACUUUCUUGCUUACAGAAAAGUAAUAUAUUGUAGAUUCUUUGUAGAUACAUUGUUUAUCAAAACGUAUUCUGUAGAUAUUUUUUUGCAGGUGUGUGGUGCUCUCGUUUAAAUAAAAUAUCCCAAGCCUUCAGGUAGACCCAAUUUUUGAUAUUAUAAAAAGGCUGAUUUUAUU